rnacentral:rRNA from 1 species
AACGAACGCUGGCGGCAGGCUUAACACAUGCAAGUCGAACGGGCCCUUCGGGGUCAGUGGCAGACGGGUGAGUAACACGUGGGAACGUGCCCUUCAGUUCGGAAUAACCCAGGGAAACUUGGGCUAAGACCGGAUACGCCCCUUGGGGGAAAGAUUUAUCGCUGAAGGAUCGGCCCGCGUCUGAUUAGCUAGUUGGUGAGGUAAAGGCUCACCAAGGCGACGAUCAGUAGCUGGUCUGAGAGGAUGAUCAGCCACACUGGGACUGAGACACGGCCCAGACUCCUACGGGAGGCAGCAGUGGGGAAUAUUGGACAAUGGGCGCAAGCCUGAUCCAGCCAUGCCGCGUGAGUGAUGAAGGCCUUAGGGUCGUAAAGCUCUUUCGUCCGGGACGAUAAUGACGGUACCGGAAGAAGAAGCCCCGGCUAACUUCGUGCCAGCAGCCGCCGUAAAAC